AACGAACGCUGGCGGCAGGCUUAACACAUGCAAGUCGAGCGCCCCGCAAGGGGAGCGGCAGACGGGUGAGUAACGCGUGGGAAUCUACCCAUCUCUACGGAAUAACGCAUGGAAACGUGUGCUAAUACCGUGUACGUCCUUCGGGAGAAAGAUUUAUCGGAGAUGGAUGAGCCCGCGUUGGAUUAGCUAGUUGGUGGGGUAAAGGCCUACCAAGGCGACGAUCCAUAGCUGGUCGGAGAGGAUGAUCAGCCACACUGGGACUGAGACACGGCCCAGACUCCUACGGGAGGCAGCAGUGGGGAAUAUUGGACAAUGGGCGCAAGCCUGAUCCAGCCAUGCCGCGUGAGUGAUGAAGGCCCUAGGGUAGUAAAGCUCUUUCACCGGUGAAGAUAAUGACGGUAACCGGAGAAGAAGCCCCGGCUAACUUCAUGCCAGCCGCCGCCGUAAUAC
rnacentral:rRNA from 1 species